GCCAGUAGUCAUACGCUCGUCUCAAAGAUUAAGCCAUGCAUGUGUAAGUUUAAAUAGUAAACAGUAAGACUGCGAAUGGCUCAUUAUAUCAGUUAUAGUUUAUUUGAUGAAUGAUCUUUUGGAUACUAUUGGAUAACCGUAGUAAUUCUAGGGCUAAUACAUGAUGAAAUCUCUAUUCUUUGAAUAGAGUAUAUUUAUUAGUAUGAAAACCAUAAGUCUUUUGACUUGAUUGUGAGUAAUAAUAACUUAUAAUAUCGUAUGCUAUAAGUAACGAUAGAUCUUUUAAGUUUCUGCCCUAUCAGCUUUGGAUGGUAGUGUAUUGGACUACCAUGGCAGUAACGGGUAACGAAGAAUUUGGGUUCGAUUUCGGAGAGGGAGCCUGAGAGAUGGCUACCACAUCCAAGGAAGGCAGCAGGCGCGUAAAUUGUCCAAUCCUAAUACAGGGAGACAGUGACGAUACGUCUUAGAGGAGAACAUUAAUGUUAUCCAACUAAAUUGAGAACAAUGUACAAUCGUUAUCGAUAAACAAUUGGAGGGCAAGUCUGGUGCCAGCAGCCGCGGUAAUUCCAGCUCCAAUAGCGUAUAUUAACGUUGUUGCAG
rnacentral:rRNA from 1 species